rnacentral:rRNA from 1 species
CCCUUAGAUGUUCUGGGCCGCACGCGCGCUACACUGAUGCAUUCAACGAGCCUAUCCUUGACCGACAGGUCCGGGUAAUCUUUGAAUCUGCAUCGUGACGGGGAUAGAUUAUUGCAAUUAUUAAUCUUCAACGAGGAAUGCCUAGUAGGCGCAAGUCAUCAGCUUGCGUCGAUUACGUCCCUGCCCUUUGUACACACCGCCCGUCGCUCCUACCGAUUGGGUGUGCUGGUGAAAUGUUCGGAUCGGCCGUUUGUCGCGGUUUCCGCGUCAUGUGGAUGAGAAGUUCAUUAAACCCUCCCACCUAGAGGAAGGAGAAGUCGUAACA